rnacentral:sRNA from 1 species
GAUUGUGCUCCGUGGAGCCUGGGCUGUGCCCCGCGUUGACUGCCUCAUAGAUACCCUCCGAACCCCAAAUGCCAGCUGCAUGAGAAGAGGGACUCACCUUCUGGCCCCCUGCCUGGAAGAGGAAGAGCUGGCAUUGCACAGGAGACGGCUGGACAUGUCUGAGGCACUGCCCUGCCUGAGCAAGGAGACCCCCACCCCAGGCUGCAGGCUGGGGGCCCUGUAUUGGGCCUGUGUCCACAAUGAUCCCACCCAGCUCCAAGCCAUACUGGAUGGUGGGGUCUCCCCAGAGGAGGCCACCCAGGUGGACAGCAAUGGGAGGGCCUCAUGGUCGCAUGCUACCACGGCUUCCAGAGUGUUGUGGCCCUGCUCAGCCACUGUCCUUUCCUUGAUGUGAACCAGCAGGACAAAGGAGGGGACACGGCCCUCAUGUUGGCUGCCCAAGCAGGCCACGUGCCUCUGGUGAGUCUCCUGCUCAACUACUAUGUGGGCCUGGACCUGGAACGCCGGGACCAGCGGGGGCUCACAGCAUUAAUGAAGGCUGCCAUGCGGAACCGCUGUGAGUGCGUGGCCACCCUCCUCAUGGCAGGAGGUUGCAACACUGGCCUCCCCGAUUCCACCUUCAACAGGAUGGGACUCUAUGGCUUUGAGUGUGCUGACCUGACAGCAGUGGACCCUGUUCGGGGCAAGACGGCCCUGGAAUGGGCAGUGCUGACUGACAGCUUCGACACCGUGUGGAGGAUUCGGCAGCUGCUGAGGCGGCCCCAAGUGGAGCAGCUUAGCCAGCACUACCACCCCGAGUGGCCGGCCUUGUCCGGGCUCGUGGCCCAGGCCCAGGCCCAGGCCCAGGUUGCCCCUUCACUCCUAGAGCGGCUGCAGGCUACCUUGAGCCUCCCCUUUGCCCCAUCUCCUCAGGAGGGGGGUGUUCUGGACCACCUUGUGACUGCCACAACCAGCCUGGCCAGUCCCUUCGUCACCACUGCCUGCCACACUCUGUGCCCUGACCACCCACCUUCGCUGGGCACCCGAAGCAAGUCCGUGCCAGAGCUGUUAGGUACUGCCCCGCCCCCUCCCCUGGUUCCCCAGUCCCCGCCAGGGAGUCCCCAGAGGUCCCCGUGGGUCUUCAUCCCCUACCAGAGCCCUCAGGGCAUAUUGAGCAAGUGUCUUCAGUGGCUACAACCCAGGGAUAGCACCAGCCCCAGGCCCCAAGUCCCCAAGAUCCUCCUCUCCAAGGCAUCCUCAUCCCCCCACCAGUGCCAGCCGAAGCCCAGUCCUGCAGGACAUCAAAGUCUGGCCCUUCCUCUCUGGCGAUACCAGGAGCUCAGGAUAGAGAAGAGGAAACAGGAGGAGGAGGCCAGAAUGGCACAGAAGUAGGGGAAGAUGGGAUAGGACAGGCUGGGAACAGGUAGUCAGGCCCCUCCCAAGGCUUCUUUCCCCUCUGGAGUGCCUCCGGCCUCCCCAUCCACCUCUACCUAAGUAAAUCUGCUCUCAACCUGUAUAUAUACAA